rnacentral:rRNA from 1 species
GACGAACGCUGGCGGCGUGCUUAACACAUGCAAGUCGAACGGAAAGGCCCUGCUUUUGUGGGGUGCUCGAGUGGCGAACGGGUGAGUAACACGUGAGUAACCUGCCCUUGACUUUGGGAUAACUUCAGGAAACUGGGGCUAAUACCGGAUAGGAGCUCCUGCUGCAUGGUGGGGGUUGGAAAGUUUCGGCGGUUGGGGAUGGACUCGCGGCUUAUCAGCUUGUUGGUGGGGUAGUGGCUUACCAAGGCUUUGACGGGUAGCCGGCCUGAGAGGGUGACCGGCCACAUUGGGACUGCGAGACGGCCCAGACUGCUACGGGAGGCAGCAGUGGGGAAUAUUGCACAAUGGGCGGAAGCCUGAUGCAGCAGCGCCGCGUGCGGGAUGACGGCCUUCGGGUUGUAAACCGCUUUCGCCUGUGACGAAGCGUGAGUGACGGUAAUGGGUAAAGAAGCACCGGCUAACUACGUG